UGCAGAUCUGUACAUUACGCAGUGCCAUUAAUAAAACAAACGGAGUUCUGAUGACUUGAAUUAAACCCUCUGAUUCCUUUUUCUCCCCAGCUGGAUUAACUAAGGAAGAGCUCCAAAUGCUUGAUAAGGAUUUGAUGCCAUAUUUCCAGCCAUCAGCAAUCAAAUGCCUUCCUGAUGAGAUAUUCAAAGAGCUGUCGGCCGAGCAGAUCGCCUCCCUGGGUCCUGAAAACGCGGCGGCGGUGACCCCUGCCCAGCGCCGGCAGCUCAGCAUGUUGCAGCUGCAGAGCCUCCAGCGGGCGGUAGAUGGCGCCAAGGCUCGCUCCUGGCUGGACGCGCCUCCGAGCGCCAGCCCCGCCCGGACCCCCUCCUCUCUUUCUCCUCCAGGUAAGCGGGACGGACCCAGCCGCACUUCCCACUCCCAAUCCCCUUUCCUCGUCUCUCGGUCCGCCUCGCCUGACAUGGGACAGCAAGAAGGCUCCUAAAAUUCAGGGUGGGGUCUCUGACGGUCUUUGAAGAUCCUGCAUUCAGAGAAAAACCCACAGUCCGUACCAAGCUUAUGUAAAGAAUGGUCAACUCCGGAGCACUUGCAAGUCUUGGGAUGGGGGGAACUCUUAAAAAUUGGCAGCCCCACGGGCCCCACCCAGAACCCACUGAAUCAGAAUUUCUCAGGCCCUUUCAGUGGUUCCUUUGCUCCUCCGUCCUUCUCACCGUCCAGGAUUAAUAAAUUCAGUCGAUAUAUUUUGGGUACCUACUGUGUGCUAAGCCUGCUGUAGGAGCUGGUGAGUAAGGCAGGUGAGGCUCUCUCGUAAUGAACAAGGAGAUUUCAAAUCUGAUUAAGACCAGGGAAGGAAAGCAGCAGAAGGAAG
rnacentral:lncRNA from 1 species